rnacentral:rRNA from 1 species
CACACCAUAAACGAUGAAUGCUAGGUGUAGGUGGUAUCGACCCCAUCUGUGCCGGAGUAAACACAAUAAGCAUUCCGCCUGGGGAGUACGGUCGCAAGAUUAAAACUCAAAGGAAUUGACGGGGGCCCGCACAAGCAGCGGAGCAUGUGGUUUAAUUCGAAGCAACGCGAAGAACCUUACCAGGUCUUGACAUCCAGUAAAGCCUGUAGAGAUGCAGAGUCCCUUCGGGGGUACUGAGACAGGUGG